CACUCAAGUUCACCCUCCCUUCCCAAGUUUCAGAUCAAGGAAAAUGACACAAGUUUAUGUACAGAUUGCAGUUGGUCAAUGUGACUUGACAAUUACUCAAACAUAAAAUUCAUGAAGCUAAAACAGCCUCCUUAAAACAGGCAAGCAGAAAAACCAUAUACGCAAAAGGAGGUGCCAAACCUGACAACAUAAGCUCACAUGGCUCCUGGACAUAGGAUGACUGGCCAUUUGGAAUGUCACAAAGGACUCCAGCUGAGUGAAAGGCAUUGUCUCUUCUGGGCAUUUGUAUUUAGAAUACAAACAUUGUAUUUGGUCUCUAUAGAUGUUGAAACUGGAAGAUCAUACAAAACCAAAAACAAAGAUAUUGGAUAGCAAUUCAACUGUAAUGUACAGAAAUGCAUUAAGAAAAAAUGCAUAUGUAAGGAAAAAUAAAGCCAAG
rnacentral:lncRNA from 10 species